AUAAUAAACUAAGCACCUACUGCUCUUUUGGCAUAACAUAUAUAUUUUCUUUUUCAACUGCAGCCACUUCGUGUGUUAUAUAUAUAUAUAGAAAGAGAGAGUCCGACUACUAUGCCAUUAAUGGCAUCAAGCGCUUGUUGAUAUCAAAUUUUUCGCCGUUUUAUCUACCCUUUAUUUGAUCAUUUCCACAUGUUAGAUUAUACUAUUCAAUUAACCAUCCACUCAAACCUAGGGCAUCACUAUCAUCUUAAUAACACAUUCCUUCAUCAAAGGGGCCGAAAACCUAAUAGCACCAAUGAUUUCGUGCUAUUAAUAGUAUAGUAACCUUGUUCUAUAUAUAUAGCUUUACCAAAUAGAAAAGAAGAAAAUUUACAUUGUGGCUGGAAGCUAAAUUUAGACUUUUGAGUCUCAAAAGGAGAAUCGAUCUUUAGCUUAAAACAUUUCGUUCUUGAGAUAAAAUAGAAAUGCAUGUUUGGAGAUUAAUAUAUUGAUUCUCCUAAAACACCAUACAAAUAGCAUUUCAUUGAGUAACACAUAGGCCAAUGUAUACUAUACUAAUGCACCAAUUUAAACCAAUGCAAUUUAAUAAUAGUUUUUUUUUUUUGAAAGAUAUAGGUGGCAUGCUACCCGCUUCGUUUAUUUCAUUUAGAAAUAAACUUGACUGAAAAUAUAAAUCAACUAGGAUUCGAACUAUUACCGACCAUCCCUAGCGCAAGUGUAGUUGAGAGAUAAUAAAUAAUAUAUGAUAGAUAAUAGGCUAUAGUUCUACGUUCUAUAUAUUAACGCUCUGUUUGGCACCAAAUAAAAUAAAAUUUAAUAAAAUUCAGAUGAGCCGACCGUCCCUAGAGCAAGUGGCAAAGGGUUUGAUGGUUGGUACCCGAGAUCCAAGUUCGAAUCUUAGUUGAUUCACAUUUCCAGCUAAGUUUAUUUCUAAAUGAAAUAAACGAAGCCGAUAGCGUGCUACCUAUCUCUCAAAAAAAGCAAAAAAAAAAAAAAUUCAGAUGAGAAGUAUU
rnacentral:lncRNA from 1 species